rnacentral:rRNA from 1 species
GACGUAGGGGGCCAGCGUUGUUCGGAAUUACUGGGUGUAAAGGGUUCGUAGGCGGUGUAGCAAGUCGGGAGUGAAAUCUCUGGGCUUAACCCAGAGGCUGCUUCCGAAACUGCUGUGCUUGAGUGUGGGAGAGGCGCGUGGAAUUCCUGGUGUAGCGGUGAAAUGCGUAGAUAUCAGGAGGAACACCUGUGGCGAAAGCGGCGCACUGGACCACAACUGACGCUGAGGCGCGAAAGCUAGGGGAGCAAACAGG